CCUACGGGAGGCAGCAGUGGGGAAUAUUGCACAAUGGGGGAAACCCUGAUGCAGCGACGCCGCGUGAGUGAAGAAGUAUUUCGGUAUGUAAAGCUCUAUCAGCAGGAACGAGACAAGACGGUACCUGACUAAGAAGCCCCGGCUAACUACGUGCCAGCAGCCGCGGUAAUACGUAGGGGGCAAGCGUUAUCCGGAAUCACUGGGUGUAAAGGGAGCGUAGACGGCUGUGCAAGCCUGAAGUGAAAGGCGGGGGCCCAACCCCUAGACUGCUUUGGGAACUGUACGGCCGGAGUGCAGGAGAGGUAAGUGGAAUUCCUAGUGUAGCGGUGAAAUGCGUAGAUAUUAGGAGGAACACCAGUGGCGAAGGCGGCUUACUGGACUGUAACUGACGUUGAGGCUCGAAAGCGUGGGGAGCAAACAGGAUUAGAUACCCCUGUAGUC
rnacentral:rRNA from 1 species